CUAACACAUGCAAGUCGAGCGGUAACAGAAAGUAGCUUGCUACUUUGCUGACGAGCGGCGGACGGGUGAGUAAUGCUUGGGAACAUGCCUUGAGGUGGGGGACAACAGUUGGAAACGACUGCUAAUACCGCAUAAUGUCUACGGACCAAAGGGGGCUUCGGCUCUCGCCUUUAGAUUGGCCCAAGUGGGAUUAGCUAGUUGGUGAGGUAAUGGCUCACCAAGGCAACGAUCCCUAGCUGGUUUGAGAGGAUGAUCAGCCACACUGGGACUGAGACACGGCCCAGACUCCUACGGGAGGCAGCAGUGGGGAAUAUUGCACAAUGGGCGCAAGCCUGAUGCAGCCAUGCCGCGUGUGUGAAGAAGGCCUUCGGGUUGUAAAGCACUUUCAGUCAGGAGGAAAGGUUAGUAGUUAAUACCUGCUAGCUGUGACGUUACUGACAGAAGAAGCACCGGCUAACUCCGUGCCAGCAGCCGCGGUAAUACGGAGGGUGCGAGCGUUAAUCGGAAUUACUGGGCGUAAAGCGUACGCAGGCGGUUUGUUAAGCGAGAUGUGAAAGCCCCGGGCUCAACCUGGGAACUGCAUUUCGAACUGGCAAACUAGAGUGUGAUAGAGGGUGGUAGAAUUUCAGGUGUAGCGGUGAAAUGCGUAGAGAUCUGAAGGAAUACCGAUGGCGAAGGCAGCCACCUGGGUCAACACUGACGCUUAUGUACAAAGCGUGGGGAGCAA
rnacentral:rRNA from 1 species